UACGUAGGGUGCGAGCGUUGUCCGGAAUUAUUGGGCGUAAAGAGCUCGUAGGCGGUGUGUCACGUCGGCCGUGAAAACCUGGGGCUUAACUCCGGGCGUGCGGUCGAUACGGGCAUCACUAGAGUUCGGCAGGGGAGACUGGAAUUCCUGGUGUAGCGGUGAAAUGCGCAGAUAUCAGGAGGAACACCGGUGGCGAAGGCGGGUCUCUGGGCCGAUACUGACGCUGAGGUGCGAAAGCAUGGGUAGCGAACAGG
rnacentral:rRNA from 1 species